CCACCAGCGACCGGCCAUUUCCACUCUUCCCUAACUUCAACCCAGAGCAAUGCGUUUUGAUCUAAUCAUUCAUCAUAAUCAAGUCCUAGAUAGAUUUUACUUAAUAUUUUGCAUGUCCUCAAUAUAAAUGCUCAAUAUAUAUUUGAUAUAGGUUCAAAAUUCGUCCCCCCCCAAAAAAAAAAAAACAAAAAAAAAAAACACCCAUAAUUCUCAUGCAACAUGACUAAUUUUGUACUAAUAAAAAAAAUAAUAAAAUUAACGUAGGGCAUCCAACUUUAUAUUAAGUGAAAACUCAAAACCAUGGAAUCGCAUCAACAUGGAUGUUUAUUCAGUUAGACACCUAGAGGACAAAAGUGUCACUGCGUUCGGGGACAAAAACCCCCAUGGCGAAAGCUCGACGUGGACAAGGCUGCUUCGUUCAGCGGUCCUCCUUAAACAAAUGCACUUCUGGGUGACAAUUACAGAAAUUAAAUGAAUGGAGGAGGGACGGGGAGAAAAAAAAAAAAAAAAAAAGAUUAACAUGUGGCGUUCCACUAAACUGCAUAAUUAUUUUAUAGUAGUACACAAAUGGAGGGAGGGAAGGAGGGUGCAGGGGUGAUGAAAAAAACGGACAUUAUUCCAACUCGUCCAACUCGCGCUUCAAUUCAGUCGGGUAGGAAGAAAAGAAAAGAAACGGGGGGGAAAAAGCGCUUUCUUUUCCUCGGUACUGAAACGGAGGAUCACAAAGCAUCAGAGAUUCAAGUGCAGAUGUACAGAUUUGCUGUUACACACUUUCCGUUUUUUCCCCUCUGAAAGCACGUGUUCGUGCAGAACCCAAACAACAACAACAAAAAAAUAAUGAAUAUAAUAAACAGAAAAGACCUACAAAUACAAAUAAGUUGGGUGAAAAAUCCUCGAAACCAACUAGCCAGGUUAGUCAGUUAAUACCAAACAGGAGUCCGGUGCGAGUUAAUUAAGGGUGUCGGUAAGAAGCUUUAUAGAAGGACUGAAAGUGCUUAAAGAUACAGUUUACGUGAUCAAUGCUGCUUUCUUUUGCGUUUGUUUUUUUUGUUUUUUUGUCAUGAGAAUAAGGGCAGAUGCAUCAAAAAUCGCCAGUCCGUGGUCAUCGUCAUGGUGUUAAAGUGUUCGUACAUGGUCUUCAGCAGAAAAUAGAGCAGAACCCUCGUUCUUCCUCUGUGGUUAGGCAAUAAUUCAAAAGGUUCUACAUUAUUAGUGUUGAAGUUCUAGCAGAACAGAUGUCUGGAAGGUUACUGUUUAUUUCGAGUUCGC
ensembl:lncRNA